rnacentral:rRNA from 1 species
AGUGAAGCGGCAAAAGCUCAAAUUUGAAAUCUGGUACCUUUGGUGCCUGAGUUGUAAUUUGGAGAGUACCACUUUGGGACUGUACUUUGCCUAUGUUCCUUGGAACAGGACGUCAUGGAGGGUGAGAAUCCCGUGUGGCGAGGGUGUCAGUUCUUUGUAAAGGGUGCUCGAAGAGUCGAGUUGUUUGGGAAUGCAGCUCUAAGUGGGUGGUAAAUUCCAUCUAAAGCUAAAUACAGGCGAGAGACCGAUAGCGAACAAGUACAGUGAUGGAAAGAUGAAAAGAACUUUGAAAAGAGAGUGAAAAAGUACGUGAAAUUGUUGAAAGGGAAGGGCAUUUGAUCAGACAUGGUGUUUUGCGCCCCUUGCCUCUCGUGGGCUUGGGACUCUCGCAGCUCACUGGGCCAGCAUCGGUUUUGGCGGCCGGAAAAAACCUAGGGAAUGUGGCUCUGCGCCUCGGGGUAUAGUGUUAUACCCCUGGGGAAUACGACCAGGCGGAACCGAGGACUGCGAUACUUGUUAUCUAGGAUGCUGGCAUAAUGGUUAUAUGCCGCCCGUCUUGAAACACGGACCAC